UACGUAGGUGGCAAGCGUUGUCCGGAUUUACUGGGCGUAAAGAGCGCGCAGGCGGUCGUUCAAGUCGCGUGUGAAAGCCCCCGGCUCAACUGGGGAGGGUCACGCGAUACUGAUCGACUCGAAGGCAGGAGAGGGUAGUGGAAUUCCCGGUGUAGUGGUGAAAUGCGUAGAUAUCGUGAGGAAUACCAGAGGCGAAGGCGGCUACCUGGACAAUUGCUGACGCUCAGGCACGAAAGCGUGGGGAGCAAAAGGG
rnacentral:rRNA from 1 species